GGCCAGACUCCUACGGGAGGCAGCAGUGAGGAAUAUUGGUCAAUGGGCGCAAGCCUGAACCAGCCAAGUCGCGUGAGGGAUGACGGUCCUAUGGAUUGUAAACCUCUUUUGCCGGGGAGCAAGGGCGGGGACGUGUCCCGGCCCGGAGAGUACCCGGAGAAAAAGCAUCGGCUAACUCCGUGCCAGCAGCCGCGGUAAUACGGAGGAUGCGAGCGUUAUCCGGAUUUAUUGGGUUUAAAGGGUGCGUAGGCGGGCUUUUAAGUCAGCGGUAAAAAUUCGGGGCUCAACCCCGUCCGGCCGUUGAAACUGGGGGCCUUGAGUGGGCGAGAAGUACGCGGAAUGCGUGGUGUAGCGGUGAAAUGCAUAGAUAUCACGCAGAACUCCGAUUGCGAAGGCAGCGUACCGGCGCCCAACUGACGCUGAAGCACGAAGGCGUGGGUAUCGAACAGGAUUAGAUACCCGGGUAU
rnacentral:rRNA from 1 species